rnacentral:rRNA from 1 species
UACGUAGGGUCCGAGCGUUAAUCGGAAUUACUGGGCGUAAAGCGUGCGCAGGCGGUUCUGUAAGCCAGAUGUGAAAUCCCCGGGCUCAACCUGGGAAUGGCAUUUGGGACUGCAAGGCUGGAGUACGGCAGAGGAGACUGGAAUUCCUGGUGUAGCAGUGAAAUGCGUAGAUAUCAGGAGGAAUACCGAUGGCGAAGGCAGGUCUCUGGGCUGAUACUGACGCUCAUGCACGAAAGCGCGGGGAGCAAACAGG